rnacentral:lncRNA from 1 species
CUGGCAGAUUAUUGCAAAAAGGGCACGGGGCAGAGGGACUAUGUUGUGAGCCUGCGAAAGAAGUUUGUGUGGGGACUGUGGGCAGUGAAUGCGUUGGGAACAAUAUGGAAAACUGGGAGCUGCCUUGGAAUCUACAGGGCCGGGGAAUCACCACUGUCAGACUUCAAUCCAACAGGACCCACUCGAGCCAUCCACACUUUCCCCAGCCUCCUCCAAAACAGCACACUUUCCGGCUGAAGAAAAGAAGAAUGGUAUUCAUGCAGUUCCCAUUUUACAGAUGAAAACAAGAGGACUUUUUCUGUGAAGUCAAGAAAGUGGUUACAAUGGUACUUUCAGCCUGUCCGAAUUAUGUAUUGCCCCUCCCCUUUUUAUUAAUAACAUUGAAGUGUGAUGGGACAACCACUGAAGCCGUCUGUUGAAACCUGCUGGGACUUUUUAGCCAUUCUCUUCAACAUAAAGAAUGGGUGUUUUUGGAGGGGGUGAGAGGAAUGGGGAAAUGUUGUCAAAGAGUACAAUGUUUUAGUUGAGACAGGAGGAAUAUAUUUUGUUGAGAUCUACAGCACAGCAUGGUGACUGUAGUUAACAAUGAAGUAUUGUGUAUUUCAAAAUUGCUAAGACAAUAAAUUUCAAAUGUUCUCACCACAAAAA